rnacentral:rRNA from 1 species
UAAACCGUACUGAAAACCGACACAGGUGGUCAGGUAGAGAAUACUCAGGCGCUUGAGAGAACUCGGGUGAAGGAACUAGGCAAAAUAGCACCGUAACUUCGGGAGAAGGUGCGCUGGCGUAGGUUGUAGGAGUAUACCUCCGAAGGCUGAACCAGUCGAAGAUACCAGCUGGCUGCAACUGUUUAUUAAAAACACAGCACUCUGCAAACACGAAAGUGGACGUAUAGGGUGUGAUGCCUGCCCGGUGCUGGAAGGUUAAUUGAUGGUGUUAUCGAAAGAGAAGCUCCUGAUCGAAGCCCCAGUAAACGGCGGCCGUAACUAUAACGGUCCUAAGGUAGCGAAAUUCCUUGUCGGGUAAGUUCCGACCUGCACGAAUGGCAUAAUGAUGGCCAGGCUGUCUCCACCCGAGACUCAGUGAAAUUGAAAUCGCCGUGAAGAUGCGGUGUACCCGCGGCUAGACGGAAAGACCCCGUGAACCUUUACUAUAGCUUGACACUGAACAUUGAAUUUUGAUGUGUAGGAUAGGUGGGAGCCUAUGAAGCAGUCACGCCAGUGAUUGUGGAGGCGUCCUUGAAAUACCACCCUUUAACGUUUGAUGUUCUAACGAAGAUUGCGAAACGCGGUCUCGGACAGUGUCUGGUGGGUAGUUUGACUGGGGCGGUCUCCUCCCAAAGCGUAACGGAGGAGCACGAAGGUUUGCUAAUCACGGUCGGACAUCGUGAGGUUAGUGCAAUGGUAUAAGCAAGCUUAACUGCGAGACAGACAAGUCGAGCAGGUGCGAAAGCAGGUCAUAGUGAUCCGGUGGUUCUGAAUGGAAGGGCCAUCGCUCAACGGAUAAAAGGUACUCCGGGGAUAACAGGCUGAUACCGCCCAAGAGUUCAUAUCGACGGCGGUGUUUGGCACCUCGAUGUCGGCUCAUCACAUCCUGGGGCUGAAGUAGGUCCCAAGGGUAUGGCUGUUCGCCAUUUAAAGUGGUACGCGAGCUGGGUUUAGAACGUCGUGAGACAGUUCGGUCCCUAUCUGCCGUGGGCGUUGGAGAAUUGAGAGGGGCUGCUCCUAGUACGAGAGGACCGGAGUGGACGCAUCACUGGUGURCCAGUUGUCUCGCCAGAGGCACUGCUGGGUAGCUAAAUGCGGAAGAGAUAAGUGCUGAAAGCAUCUAAGCACGAAACUCGCCUUAAGAUGAGUUCUCCCUAGCUAUAAGCUAGUAAGGGUUGUUGRAGACUACGACGUAGAUAGGUCUGGUGUGUAAGCGGUGUGAGCCGUUGAGCUAACAGAUACUAAUUGCCCGAGAGGCUUAACUAU